UACGUAGGGUGCAAGCGUUAAUCGGAAUUACUGGGCGUAAAGCGUGCGCAGGCGGUUAUGCAAGACAGAUGUGAAAUCCCCGGGCUUAACCUGGGAACCGCAUUUGUGACUGCAUAGCUGGAGUACGGCAGAGGGGGAUGGAAUUCCGCGUGUAGCAGUGAAAUGCGUAGAUAUGCGGAGGAACACCGAUGGCGAAGGCAGUCCCCUGGGCCUGUACUGACGCUCAUGCACGAAAGUGUGGGGAGCAAACAGG
rnacentral:rRNA from 1 species